GCAUAGAUUUGGAUUUAUGGCAGGCUCAUCCCCCUGGGCCCCUCAGAGUGUCCCAUGCUAGAGCAAACUGAGCUCCUAACCAUGCCUGGACUCCAUGCCGGGAGGCUGCUGGCACUGAAGUGGGUCACACAGUG